CCUGGGGGACUUGGAGGAUCUGGAGGACCUGGAGGACCAGAAACACCAGGAGGAGGAGAAGAAGACAUGAUGACUUCUUUGGAAAAUUUGUGCUCAAAGAAUUACUCAUGCAGGUUAUAUGCUGCAGACCAGCUCCAAGAGGGGAUGGGGCUUUAGAAGAUGGAUGUAGCAACUUUAUCAAGGACAGAGUGAAGAAUAUUGACAGAGACAUCAGCAACAG